rnacentral:rRNA from 1 species
ACAGCGAUAAGGGAACCUCGAGUGCCAGGUUACAAAUCUGGCUGUCGAGAUGCCUAAAAAGCAUUUCAUAGCAAGGGCCGGGCAAGACCGGUGCCAGCCGCCGCGGUAACACCGGCGGCUCGAGUGGUAACCGUUAUUAUUGGGUCUAAAGGGUCUGUAGCCGGCCGGAUAAGUCUCUUGAGAAAUCUGGCAGCUUAACUGUCAGGCUUUCAGGAGAUACUGUCUGGCUCGAGGCCGGGAGAGGUGAGAGGUACUUCAGGGGUAGGGGUGAAAUCUUGUAAUCCUUGAAGGACCACCAGUGGCGAAGGCGUCUCACCAGAACGGACCUGACGGCAAGGGACGAAAGCUAGGGGCACGAACCGGAUUAGAUACCCGGGUAGUCCUAGCCGUAAACGAUACUCGCUAGGUGUCGGCCACGGUGCGACCGUUGUCGGUGCCGUAGGGAAGCCGUGAAGCGAG